CUCACACACACACACACACACACACACACACACACACACACACACACACACACACACACACACACACACACACACACACACACACACACACACACAGUUCUACAUACAUUUGUGUGGCUGAAUUUUUGGACUGCCACCCCUUCCCCCAUGAAACAGACCCCCCAUGACACGGGUUAGCAUUAACAUAGUAGCAUCUACAGAAGGCCAGGCACCACUCUGAUGAAUAUGGAGGAACAAGGGACCACUAAACAAGAUGCUUCUCCUGAAUAGACCCCUCCUCCAUGACAUGGUGACACGUGCUAGCAAAGUAUCCCCAUUCAUAACAUCUAUAGUGUGGACUACAGUAGACCCUUAACAGCUUCCCCCAAUAGACCCCCCAUGACAGGGACUAGUAGGACAGUAGACUAGCCCCCCCUCCCCAUAUGCUACUGUAUGACUAUGUGGAACUGGUCAACAGAGGCCAUUGUUUGGGUGCUACCCUCAACAGACACCACGGCACCGUGACCCCCUCCCUGUUCCCUCAUCGAGUGUCAGUGUGUCCAGUGUAGUGAGCAGUAAUAUUUGAUAUGUGUAUAUACAGUAUAUAUCAGUGGAGGCUGCUGAGGGGAGGACGAUGAAUAACAAUGGCUGGAACGGAGUGAAUGGAAUGGCAUCAACCCACGUGUUUUAAUGUCUCUGAUACCAUUCCUCCUAUUCUACUCCAGCCAUUACCACGAGCCCACCUCCCUAAUUAAGGUGCCACCAACCUCCUGUGGCAUAUAUACCUCACAUGCAACUCAUAACAAGACUAAGCAAUGUUUAUCUCACUCCAUAAAGAUCAUUAAAAUAUACAAGCAAGCAUUAGGCAAUGAGUUAAUGUAGACUAGCAAGAAUUGGUCUGAGAAUUGUACACUACACAAGUGUUAGCUGAGGGGUUGAAUGAACUACGGACAUCACAGCAUCAGACCUCUUGACUUGUUCGCCUUUAAUGUUCAGUGCAGCAAAGUCUACAUUUACUCAACAAAGUGCCAUUAUCAAAUCACAUUCAUUAACGUCAGGGUCAGAGUUCAAUGCAAUGAUUUCUGUCGACAAAUCACAGAAGCAAACGCAACACUUAAGGGAAGCGGGUGAGAGGAGAAGAGAACGGGUAAUAUUGCUGUACUCCACUAACUCUUAGCCUCUCUCCCCUCCCCCACACACUCUCCCAGUCAGAUUUAGGAAGCACAAAGUCAUGGUAAGUUGCUUUUAUAUUUCAUAUUUUAUUUAUUUGCAGAGGAAAAAUGCACAACGGCCCCCCCCCCGCAGAGCAACUCCACUAACAGUCCCAUGUUUACCGUGCAAUAAAGUCGGCAUUUUGUGUCAACACUGUGCACUGUGAUUGGUUAACAUCAGCAUGAAAUGAACUCUGGAUUGAUUCGGUUCAGUUCCAGUUCUAGAAGGUUUGGCAGAAUCACGACUCUUUGGAGGUGAUGCGUACACAUUACAUUUGUGAUAGAUACACAUACAUUUAGGCGAGUCAUAGAAGAAAUAUCAUGGUGGGUCGCAGUCAAGUCAAUAGUUUAGGUCCCAGUCAAGUCAGUAGUUUAGGUCCCAGUCAAGUCAGUAGUUUAGGUCCCAGUCAAGUCAGUAGUUUAGGUCCCAGUCAAGUCAGUAGUUUAGGUCCCAGUCAAGUCAGUAGUUUAGGUCCCAGUCAAGUCAAUAGUUUAGGUCCCAGUCAAGUCAGUAGUUUAGGUCCCAGUCAAGUCAAUAGUUUAGGUCCCAGUCAAGUCAAUAGUUUAGGUCCCAGUCAAGUCAGUAGUUUAGGUCCCAGUCAAGUCAAUAGUUCAGGUCCCAGUCAAGUCAGUAGUUUAGGUCCCAGUCAAGUCAAUAGUUUAGGUCCCAGUCAAGUCAAUAGUUUAGGUCCCAGUCAAGUCAGUAGUUUAGGUCCCAGUCAAGUCAGUAGUUUAGGUCCCAGUCAAGUCAAUAGUUUAGGUCCCAGUCAAGUCACUAGUUUAGGUCCCAGUCAAGUCAGUAGUUUAGGUCCCAGUCAAGUCAGUAGUUUAGGUCCCAGUCAAGUCAGUAGUUUAGGUCCCAGUCAAGUCAAUAGUUUAGGUCCCAGUCAAGUCAGUAGUUUAGGUCCCAGUCAAGUUACUAGUUUAGGUCCCAGUCAAGUCAGUAGUUUAGGUCCCAGUCAAGUCAAUAGUUUAGGUCCUUCUUUUCAAGAUGUCCUAUCUGUGCCUUUGCUAGCGUCACACUCCCCCUCUCUUUCACACACAGCCAAGCAAGCAAAACAAACAAACAUACAUGCAGCCAUAUGUAAGUUAUCCUGUGCAUUAUCAAUACAUACAUAUAUAUAUAUAUAUAUAUUACAAAAUAUAUGUCACCCUCUCUGUGCUAUAUAAUGGUUGGUUGAUUGAUACUUAAUAUUUGUUCAGUAGCUUCUUCAUCACCUCCAAUACAUCUCAGUAUAAUGUCUGGACAUAAGCUUCUGGCCUCCAGGUUUUACACUGAAGGGGAUUUUGCAUAAUUUGACAGUUGUUCAUCUUUCAUAUGGACUAUGUUCUCUAUAUAUCAUUGAAACCUGCAUAGUACGUGUGUAUACUGGUUUUGUAUGUACAGGAUAAUAUCAGUACACCGAGAAACAACUUUUAAAAACCAUACAAUAUAUUUGAUUGCGUCCCCGUGUGCACACUAGAUCUUUUCAUUUAUGAGUUAAACUUAAAAUGAUUGUGGAUGGAUUAUGUUCAACAUAAAGACAGACAGUUGGAAGAAUGAUACGAAUGUUCAUGAACGUGGAUUGUAGGUGAUUACGAGGUGAUUUUCGCGCCAAAAUAAAUUGAAUCGGAAUUCAAUUUCUUUUGCCACUAAAAUGACUCCAUAAAAGGAGUCCGCCACUUCAAUCAGUUUAACAAGACAUGGAAAUGAAAAAUAAAGCUCCCGUUUCUUAAAAUACAGUUUUAUUUUGUGAAUUUACACUGAUUAGCAACACAUCUGAAAGCAACUCCAUUAUAGAACCAUUUCUAAUAGGAUUUUUGUUCACAGGUCACAGGGAGGGAGGUCUUGGCUCAUUACUUGCAUGCUAAAGCAAUCCUUUCUUUUUUUAUAAGAAACAAAAUGGUGGACAGAGGCAUUAGUUAGUAAAACAAAGGUGCAAAUGGUCGGUAGAUGGGAGAGAAAAGUAAAUAAAAGAACACAAAUGCACAUUCAAUUAAUCUGAGAGCGGUUUGUAAACGCUCGUACUGUAAAUGGUUAAUAAGGAAGGAGAAACCUAGUACUUGGUAAACGGAAAAAACUGAACUGAAAAUCUGUCUGAUAUAAAUGGAAAGAUGAAAAAUAAGAACUGUGUCAAAAAGGAGAAAUGUUAUGGGAAAAAAAGGGUACAAUUGUGAGUAAUUCUAAAAACAUGGUGUGUUGAUGUCAUAGUUCUCCCUAAAACCCCACACAUACACUUUUACAUUUUCUAAAACUCACACACCUCAGCCCUUUUUCCAGCUGUUCAUGUAACUAUGACCAAAAAGCUCAACUCUGCUGUGAGACAGAUGAUAGGGCUAUUUACACAGCUAAAGAUGUGCCCUUCUCCUUUCCUCCUUCCAUCCCCCUCUCCUUCUCUCGCUCCAUCCCCCUCUCCUUCUCUCGCUCCAUUCCCCUCUCCUUCUCUCGCUCCAUCCCUCUCUCCUUCUCUCGCUCCAUCCCCCUCUCCUUCUCUCGCUCCAUCCCUCUCUCAAUGUUCCAAAUCCAAUAGUUCACAUUGCUAGCUGGGAUAUUGGUACAUCUGUAUAUUAACUGUAUUACUCUUUGUCUAUAUGCCACUUAGUCAUCACUCUUCCAUGAUUUAUAUCUUCUAGAGAAAUGACACGAGUUCCAGUUUCCACAACCGACAACAUCGUGAAAGGAGCUGUUGAGAUGCAAAUAAAGAGAGAAACUAAAAAGAGAGGCUAGAGGCUACGCAAACAACGUCUAGACAACUAUGAGCUGUCAAAGUGGUCUUAUGAGCAGUCAUAGGCAUGACAUAAGGGUGACGUAGGCCUAAUGACAAUCCAGGGAGCACUCUUGCCAAAUUUGACGCCCGGGUGCGGGCAGGAUAAGAUUCUCAACCCUUGUCUCAUGAUUUAAAAUAUAGGAGAAAAAUAUAGUAUAAGGCUUAAAAAAAAAGUCACACACAAAAUACACGCCAUAGCAACAACGGCGCCAGUUCCACGCUCAAGGCCCAUGAUUUUAUAUUUUAUAACUGAAGAUACUUUUUGUAUAUUGGGACCUGUUUUAUUUAUUUUCUUGUUUUGAACUGAGAAAUCAUACUUUUUCAAGCGUGACACAAAUCUAUAUAUUUUUCUUCUGAAACAACUCUCCACAACCUAAAGUGUAUCUUCUUUACUCUGCUCCUGCUAUCUACUUUCUUGCUUCUAUAGAUUCUAUUGGUUCUCUGCUUCUAGAAUCUCCUUCAUAGUAGAAACCACCUGCAGCUACAUUGUGUUAAGAGUCCUACCACAGUAAAAGUGCAGCACAAUAAAAUACAAAAUAUAUAGUUAAAAAUCUAUACCCAACAUAUCCAGUUUACAUAUAUCUCAGUUAUAUAGUAUUUUUGUAAUCGGAACAAGAAUAUAAUUUGAGAGAAACCUGCAGGCAACACUAGAGCAACGUAGUCAGACAUAUAAAUUCAGAUUCUUGCAAAAACAUGCGUAACCUCUUGUAUUUCUCUGUAAAAGUAUAGAAAUGAGCACAAAACUGAGU